ACAAUCGUUUCCCCUCUCAUCUAUCUGAGCUUCGCCGUCGCUUUCUACCGGCGAGCUUUCAAUCCUUCGCGGUAUGCUUUUAGCCGUCAUCUCUCUGGAUUGAAUCAUUAUUUCUCAAUUCCUCCGCAUCUAUUAGUGUUCUAUCUUCGUCUUGAUUGAAGUUUCUGGGAUUCGUUUAGGCGUUUGAGAAUGGAAGUGGAGAAGUCUAAAUCAAGGCAUGAAAGCAGGGAAGAGAGGGCUGAUAAUAAGCGGUCUCCUUCUAGAGAAAGCAGAGAUGGAAGGAGGAAGGAGAAGGAUUACAGGAGCAAGGAUAAAGAAAAGGACUAUGACCGUGAGAAGAACAGGGAUAAGGACCAUCGAAGGGAUAAGGAGAAAGAAAGGGACCGAAAAAGGGAUAAAGAAGGAGACACCGAGAAGGAAAAGAGCAGAGAUUGGGAUAGAGAGAGGGAAAGGGAUAGAGAUCGUGCAAAGGAUAAGGAGAGGGAAAAGGAAAGAGAUAAGCAUAGAGACAGAGAAAAGGAGAAGUUGAAAGAGAAGUCUAAGGAAAAGGACAAGGAAGCGUACAAAGACAAGGAUAGGUCGAGAGUUAAGGAUAGAUCGAGUAAGAAAAGCUACGAGGAUGAGGAUGAGAAUGAAAAACCUGCGGAAAUAAAAGACCAUUAUGACAACAGAGGUUCGAAUGAAAGUGAGGAUAAUGCUGAUGCUGCACCAAGUGGGAAAGAGCAAUCUGCAACGGAAGUCGAGGAGCGCAUUAAGAAGAUGAAAGAAGAAAGAAAGAAGAAAGCUGAAGAAGCUUCUGAUGCUCUAUCAUGGGUUGCAAGGAGCCGUAAAAUCGAGGAAAAAAGAAAUGCUGAGAAGCAAAGAGCUCAUCAGUUGUCCAGAAUUUUUGAGGAGCAGGACAAUCUGAUUCAAGGUGAAAAUGAAGACGGCGAGGAUGGUGAUCAUCUAUCUGGUGUUAAAGUUCUACAUGGUUUGGAGAAGGUGGCGGGAGGUGGAGCAGUUAUUUUGACACUGAAAGACCAGAGUGUCCUUGCCGAUGGAGAUGUCAACAAUGAGAUUGACAUGCUGGAAAAUGUGGAAAUUGGAGAACAGAAGCGUCGAAACGAAGCUUAUGAAGCAGCCAAGAAGAAAAAGGGAAUAUAUGAUGAUAAGUUUAACGAUGAUCCUGGGGCAGAAAAGAAGAUGCUUCCGCAGUAUGAUGAGCCCGAUACUGAUGAGGGGAUAAUUUUGGAUGCAAAGGGUCGCUUUACUGGUGAAGCAGAGAAGAAGCUGGAAGAGCUGCGUAAAAGAAUCCAGGGUCAAACGACAAGUACUUUUGAAGACCUCAACUCGUCAGCAAAGGUCUCAUCAGAUUACUUCUCACAUGAAGAAAUGCUACGUUUUAAAAAACCAAAGAAAAAGAAAUCAUUGCGGAAAAAAGAUAAAUUGGACAUAAGUGCACUUGAAGCAGAAGCUAUUGCAUCAGGACUGGCAGCUGAGGAUCUUGGUUCUCGCAAAGACGGCAAAAGGCAGGCCUUGAUAGAAGAGAAAGAAAGAUCCGAGUACGAAAAACGGAGCAACGCCUAUCAGACCGCCAUUGCUAAAGCUGAUGAGGCAUCCAGAUUACUCAGAAUGGAACACGUUCAGCCUACUAAAAGAGAAGAAGAUGAGUUGGCUGACGAUGCUGAAGAUCUUUAUAAAUCGUUGGAGAGAGCUCGGAAGUUAGCUCUCACAAAGAAAGAGGAAGUUAGAUCUGGUCCUGAAGCACUUGCACAUCUACUGGCUUCCAGAACCAAUGAAACGACCGAUGAUAAUAGCAGCUCUGGAGCUGAGACACAAGAAAAUACAAUGGUUUUCACAGAGAUGAAUGAUUUUGUCUGGGGUCUCGAGCGUGGUGAAGGUGUGGGGAAGCCUGAGAGCGAAGAUGUUUUCAUGGAUGAAGAUGAAGCACCCAAAGCUCCCGAAGAAGUAAAAGAAGAGCAACCGGAUGGUUGGGCAGAAGUUAAAGACACUUAUAUGGAUGAAGCAGAGCUUGCAUCAGAUACCAAAGAGAUAACUCCUGAUGAAACCAUACACGAGGUUGCGGUUGGGAAAGGAUUAUCUGGUGUAUUGAAGCUUCUUAAAGACAGAGGAGCCCUAAAGGAGAAGGUCGAAUGGGGUGGUAGGAACAUGGACAAAAAGAAGAGCAAGCUUGUUGGUAUCGUGGAUGAUGAAGGAGGUAAAGAGAGAUUCAAGGAUAUCCGGAUUGAGAGGACUGACGAGUUUGGUAGAACUUUGACUCCAAAAGAAGCAUUUCGACUACUCUCUCACAAAUUCCACGGGAAGGGACCUGGAAAGAUGAAGGAAGAGAAACGGAUGAAACAGUACCAGGAAGAGCUCAAACUAAAGCAAAUGAAAAACUCAGACACACCAUCGCUUUCUGUUCAGAGAAUGAGAGAAGCGCAAGCGCAAUUGAAAACUCCUUACAUUGUUCUCAGUGGCAAUGUCAAACCAGGACAAACUAGUGAUCCUCAGAGCGGGUUUGCGACUGUUGAGAAGGAUGUUCCAGGAAGCUUAACACCAAUGCUUGGUGACAGAAAGGUGGAGCAUUUCUUGGGAAUAAAACGGCAAUCAGAGGCUGGAAACUCGAAUUCACCAGCGAAGAGACCGAAGCAUUGAAGUCUCAAACCCUCAUUUACUUGCUCCUAUGCUUUUUUCACAUCGAUUCGUCUCUGAUCAUAAAUGUUUCGAGUCAUCGUUUCGUUUCGGCCGAAAGUUGAGAACAGUGCCAGGAUGUUCUGUCCCGUGAGACAUUUAGCGUAAGUUAUGUAACUGUCUACUUGUCCAGCUAGUCAUUUUGUCGCCAAGUCAAAACCAAUACUACAAGACUGUCAUUUUCGAGUGUAUAUAUUGUAGUUCACUUAUUCUUACCCAUCGCCAACUAAAUCUUUAAUCUUCAGUUAUUUUUGGUAAAACAAACAAAAAGUACCUACCUAUAUUUAAUUACUAUCCAAACGUAAUCAUAUUUAUCUUGUUCA